UUGAAAAGACCAAAAACUUCUCUGACAAGCUGUUGAGCUAGGGACUCCAUUCUUCCCUCCUUCCUCCCUCACGAUAUCUCCAUUACUUGCCUUUUUAGACUUGUUAAUCAUUUACUGCUUUUUUCCCUUUACUGUUUAUUGCUUGAGAUUUUGAAGAUAAGAUCUACAUCCAUCUAACCACUUCGGUCUUCCAUGUGCCUCCUCUCCACCUUCACCGGUCUACUCUCUUCCACCCUAUGGCUUCUAUCCUCGCGGGUGUUCCAUAUGCGCAACCACUACCAUAAGUCUUUUAUAACAGAUCCAUGGUCUCUUGGAUCUUUUCCAGAGAGCUCCUUAAUUUCCAAGGAACCUUUUUGUUCUUCAGAGCUCUCAUAUCCGAAUCUAAUUAUAAGCUUAAGCUUCACCUGAUUUGGUUAGACUUUAGACUCGCCAUCUUAAAAGGAGAUUUCUCAUAUGUUGUAUGUACAUAUACCUCUUAGUCCCUCAAUUUCUUUUGAGGGUUAGUUAGGAGCUAAGUUUUAUAAUGUUCUCUUCUUAGCCCUCCUGAUUUCCAACAUGGGGCCGCUUUCAGCUUCACUAGCAGUGUUCCCGAUCGACUUCCGACUCUUUGAGGUCUCCUUCCGGACCAGUGAGGUGCUAAUUGUUUGUCCAGAUUGGGACGUUUGUUUUCUGUAAUUCAGUUUUCUGUCCUACUUCAAAAAUUAAAUAAAUAAAAAAGUCUUCUACUAGUAGCAGGUCUUGUAGUCAAAGCGCGUCCUAAGUGCAUGCCUAAGUGGUACCAGCACUACCUUUGAAGUCAAGCUUGCAAAAUUAUAAACUACAAAUGGCCGGCCAUGCGAUUGCUCUUCCACCAAACCAUAGAGAUAAAAUAACACGCAUAAAAGCAGGAGUCAGGAGGGCGCCUUAAUUAAGGCUUACAUCUCUCCGUCUGAGACUCGAUCUACACCUUUGCUCAAAAGCCAUAACAAAGGUGAACUGACCGGCUGGCUUCUACAAGCAGCUUGUAUUUUCAGGUUUACAGGAUGAGUUGUUUUCCGGCAAAGGUGAUGGCAACACUAGUAGCACUAUUCCUUCUUGUGGGUGGAAUUGAUAUUCCACCAACUUCUACAUCACUUCCUUAUGGUGGUCGGAAGAGUUUAUCGCUUGAUGGCUCCACGAAGACGGCACCAAGAUUAGAAGGCAGCUCUGAAGGUUUGAACAUUACUGGUAAGAAAUUCGUUUCCUUCCGGAGCCUACGAGGAGAAGGUAUAUCGCCGCCACCUUCACCCGUCCGAAACCGAUCACCAAGGAGCGGGCCACCCCUUUAAUUCUGUUACCCAUGAUUUAUUUCAUUCACAACCAAUUCUCUGUCUAAGAAUAUAUAUAUAUAUAUAGCUGUGCUAUACCUAAUACCUCCUUAUUUAAGAACAAUAUAUACUUUAUGGUCACGGAUUUGAAGAAAGCCACUACUUAAAUUUUCUUAGUUGGAAAAUUGAGUUAGAAGAUACUAUUUAGCAGCUCUCCAUUGGAUAAUAAUCUUUCUUUUUUCUUUUUUU